GCAGCCAGCUGCGAUAAGUAAUGUGAAUUGCAGAACUCAGCGAAUCAUCGAAUCUUUGAACGCAAAUGGCGCCCCCUGGUUCUCCAGGGAGCAUGUCUGUCUGAGCGUCAUGUAACACUAGUACACGCACACUCUUCAUGUGUGUGCGGCGUUGAGGCUUCAUGGCUUGCUCUUAGUGAGCGAGCUGCGUGCCUUGAAGUGCAAAAUAUGACUGGGACCCUUGCACUUGCACACGAGUGUGAUAGGGGGCAGCAAAAAGAGUAAUCUUGUCUGCUUGCCUGUCUCCACGUGCGAGUGCUCGUCGUCUCGUUGGCUUAUGCCAAACACUGACUUUGACCUCAGAUCAGGCAAGACUACCCGCUGAAUUUAAGCAUAUCAUA
rnacentral:rRNA from 1 species